rnacentral:lncRNA from 1 species
UUUUUUUUUGUUACCACUAUAUGACUGGGCUGCAAAAGAUUUUAAUUUUGAGUUUUUAUCUGAAUUAUUUCAGGUAUUUAGCUUACUGUAGAGUUUCACUAAUGGUUGACAAAGCAGAGAAGACAUUAUCUUGUUACGUGGAUGGAGGAAUUAAUGUCCAGCUGUUCUUAAAAUGGCUUUUACAUCAGAGAAAACACACGGUUGAAUGAUAUCCUUUGGUACCACAUAUGAAAAAAGAUGCAAGGAAAAUGAGAUACAUUCCAACAUUGGUUUCCCAGUGCACAUUUCAAAGCAUGUUGGUGUACUGACACAGACAGGAUUAUUUCACUCAUGAGGUAGUUGAAACUUGAUUUUUGUUCAUGCAAACAACCAACAUGUAAAACAGAAUUGGCAGUUAAAAGUGGAUUAGAUAGGUGAGCAGAAAAAAUGAUCUCAUUUAAAAUCUUUUCUUGGAACAAAACAUCAGACAAUUCACUUGUUCCAUGCAGUGACUGGGAAAGACUAAAGGUGAUAUCUACAGUGCCAUGAGUCAAAGGAAGGACUAUGACAAUAAAUACUUUUUUUUCCAUAAUACCUACAAAACUGAGCUCUUGUUGACAAGCUCUCAUAGUUCAUUCUUGCAGUGAUCAAAGUGACAGUGUUUUAAAGAUAUGAUCCUGAAUAUUUUCACUUGGAAUGUACAAUAGGAGAUAUGUCAACUAACUCUAUAGGAAUAUUUCAGCAGAUCUCAGAUGGAUUUUUGAAUGAGACAGUCUGUGUAAUGAAAAAGUUUUGAAAUUUUAGUGCUAUAAGAGGAAAAAGAAAGUUUUUUAUUAUUUAAAUCCUUUUUUUAACUAAAAUGAAAUCCCUAGAACAAGUUUAACUAUUCAAUGUUUAACAGAACAAUAGAGGGGAUAGCUAUGAGACUUUUGUAUGAAUUUUGAUAGAGAUUAUAAACUGGUUCCAUUGUGGGACAUCUUAACAUUAUGUAGAUAUCAGUCUAAUUUUUUUAGGGAUGUGUCAUAUUUCUCCAAGAGACUAGCUUCCCUUCAAGAAGGGGUUGCCAAAAUGCAAGGAAGUAUUAGUAUAAUAAAGAAGAUGUUUUGAAAAAAAUCAGAAUAACAGAUAUGAUAAAGGAAUAACAAAAUACAUUUUCAUCUAUGAAGCUAGCCAAACAAAAGGGAGGACUUCGGAUACUAAAAUAUUUUUAAGUGUAAAGAAAUAUAACAAGAAUGAGACAAACAUUAUCCAACAAGCAUAUUUUUGUUUCCUUAGUGGAAAAUUUCUGAGUUAUCUACUGUAAAAAGUGCUU